rnacentral:rRNA from 1 species
AUGGACGACGGCGACAGCGUCGCUCGGAGCGCAGACAAGGACGAUGCCCCCCCGGGCGACGACGGGAGCUCCACGCCGCUCCCUGAGACGAUCCAGAUUGGCAAUUCACCUACCUACAAACUUGACAGAAAGCUUGGAAAGGGAGGAUUUGGGCAAGUAUACGUUGGUCGCCGUAUUUCCACUCCUAGUCUCAGUGACAGGACACCUGGUGCAAAUGCUUUGGAGGUUGCAAUCAAAUUUGAACACCGAACCAGUAAAGGCUGCAAUUAUGGAGCUCCUUAUGAGUGGCAGGUUUACAACACUCUUAGCGGGAUUCAUGGUGUGCCAAGAGUACACUACAAAGGGAAGCAAUCGGAGUACUAUAUCAUGAUUAUGGACAUGUUGGGACCAAGCCUGUGGGAUGUAUGGAAUAAUAAUUCCCACUCAAUGUCUGUUGAAAUGGUUGCUUGUAUUGCUAUAGAAGCCAUUUCCAUACUGGAGAAGAUGCACUCAAAAGGGUAUGUCCAUGGUGAUGUAAAACCUGAGAACUUUCUGCUUGGACCCCCAGGCACACUGCAAGAGAAGAAGCUUUUUCUUGUUGACCUUGGAUUAGCUACUAAAUGGAAAGACACUGGUACAGGAGAACUAGUUGAGUAUGAUCAGAGGCCUGAUGUCUUCAGAGGAACCGUUCGGUAUGCUAGUGUGCACGCGCACUUGGGAAGAACUGGAAGCAGGAGAGAUGACCUUGAAUCCCUUGCCUACACACUUGUUUUUCUUCUGCGUGGUCGCCUUCCUUGGCAAGGAUAUCAGGGAGAAAAUAAAGGUUUCCUUGUUUGCAAGAAAAAGAUGGCGACCUCUCCAGAAUCUUUGUGUUGCUUUUGUCCACAACCUUUCCGACAGUUUGUUGAGUAUGUCGUGAACUUAAAGUUUGAUGAAGAACCAAAUUAUGCAAAGUGCAUCUCUCUUUUUGAUGGAAUUGUUGGCCCCAAUCCAGACAUAAGACCAAUCAACACUGAUGGUGCUCAGAAGCUUAUAUACCAGGUUGGCCAGAAGAGAGGUCGCCUCAUGAUGGAGGAGGAUGACGAUGACCAACCCAAGAAGAAGAUCAGGAUGGGGAUGCCUGCAACACAAUGGGUUAGUGUUUACAAUGCGAGGCGCCCUAUGAAGCAGAGGUACCACUAUAAUGUUGCAGAUGGUAGGUUAGCACAACAUAUUUCAAAAGGAAAUGAAGAUGGCUUGUUUAUAAGCUCAGUUGCCUCUUGCUCAAAUUUGUGGGCUCUAAUAAUGGAUGCUGGCACUGGCUUUACUUCUCAAGUCUAUGAACUUUCUCCAUAUUUUCUUCACAAGGAAUGGAUAAUGGAGCAGUGGGAGAAGAACUUCUAUAUCACUGCGUUAGCAGGUGCAAACAAUGGUAGUUCUCUGGUGGUCAUGUCUAGAGGAACACAAUAUGCACAACAAUCCUACAAAGUAAGUGACUCGUUUCCCUUCAAGUGGAUAAACAAGAAGUGGAAGGAGGGGUUUUACGUCACAGCUAUGGCCACUGCAGGAAGCCGAUGGGCAGUGGUGGUGUCCCGGAAUGCUGGCUUUGUAGAUCAGGUUGUGGAGCUUGACUUCUUGUAUCCAAGUGAGGGAGUUCACCGGCGUUGGGAUAAUGGUUAUCGCAUCACGGCUACUGCUGCUACAUGGGACCAGACAGCACUUAUCUUGAGCAUCCCCAGAAGAAAGCCUGCUGAUGAAACGCAGGAAACCCUAAGAACAUCUGCUUUCCCGAGCCAGCAUGUGAAGGAGAAAUGGGCAAAAAAUCUCUACUUGGCCUCCAUUUGUUAUGGAAGAACGGUAUCAUAA